AUUGAACGCUGGCGGAAGGCCUAACACAUGCAAGUCGAGCGAGCGGCGGACGGGUGAGUAAUGUAUGGGGACUGCCCGAUAGAGGGGGAUAACUACUGGAAACGGUGGCUAAUACCGCAUACUAUCGGAUAACCCAUAUGGGCUUAGCUAGUAGGUGGGGUAAAGGCUCACCUAGGCGACGAUCUCUAGCUGGUCUGAGAGGAUGAUCAGCGACACUGCGACUUGGACUGGGCCCAUCAUCCUACGGCGGCAGCAGUGGAGAAUCAUGCACAAUGGGCGCAAGCCUGCUGCAUGCAUACUGCGUGUAUGAAGACUGCCUAAUGGUUGUCAAAUAAUUUCAGCGGGGAAGAGUUACCCGCAAAAGAAGCACCGGCUAACUGCGUGCCAGCAGCCGCGGUAAUAC
rnacentral:rRNA from 1 species